rnacentral:rRNA from 1 species
UAGCAUAUCAAUAAGCGGAGGAAAAGAAACCAACAGGGAUUGCCCCAGUAACGGCGAGUGAAGCGGCAACAGCUCAAAUUUGAAAUCUGGCCUCACGGCCCGAGUUGUAAUUUGCAGAGGAUGCUUUUGGCGCGGCGCCUUCCGAGUGCCCUGGAACGGGACGCCAUAGAGGGUGAGAGCCCCGUCUGGUUGGAUGCCUAGCCUCUGUAAAGCUCCUUCGACGAGUCGAGUAGUUUGGGAAUGCUGCUCAAAAUGGGAGGUAUAUGUCUUCUAAAGCUAAAUAUUGGCCAGAGACCGAUAGCGCACAAGUAGAGUGAUCGAAAGAUGAAAAGCACUUUGAAAAGAGGGUUAAAUAGUACGUGAAAUUGUUGAAAGGGAAGCGCUUGUGACCAGACUUGGGCUUGGUGAAUCAUCCGGCGUUCUCGCCGGUGCACUUUGCCUGUCCAGGCCAGCAUCAGUUCGCUCCGGGGGAUAAAGGCGUGGGGAAUGUGGCUCCUCCGGGAGUGUUAUAGCCCCGCGUGUAAUACCCUGUGGCGGACUGAGGUUCGCGCUCCGCAAGGAUGCUGGCGUAAUGGUCAUCAGCGACCCGUCUUGAAACACGGACCAAGGAGUCGUCUUCGUAUGCGAGUGUUCGGGUGUCAAACCCCUACGCGUAAUGAAAGUGAACGCAGGUGAGAGCUUCGGCGCAUCAUCGACCGAUCCUGAUGUUCUCGGAUGGAUUUGAGUAAGAGCAUACGGGGCCGGACCCGAAAGAAGGUGAACUAUGCCUGUAUAGGGUGAAGCCAGAGGAAACUCUGGUGGAGGCUCGCAGCGGUUCUGACGUGCAAAUCGAUCGUCAAAUAUGGGCAUGGGGGGCGAAAGACUAAUCGAACCUUCUAGUAGCUGGUUUCCGCGA